AAUCUUUCAACAAUGGAUCUCUUGGUUCCGGCAUCGAUGAAGAACGCAGCGAAAUGCGAUAACUAAUGUGAAUUGCAGAAUUCAGUGAAUCAUCGAGUCUUUGAACGCACAUUGCGCCCCCUGGUAUUCCGGGGGGCAUGCCUGUCCGAGCGUCAUU
rnacentral:rRNA from 1 species